GGUCAUGCUCGGACAGCCUCACU
rnacentral:miRNA from 1 species